rnacentral:rRNA from 1 species
UCGAGAAUCUUCGGCAAUGGGCGAAAGCCUGACCGAGCGACGCCGCGUGGAGGAUGAAGGCCUUCGGGUUGUAAACUCCUGUCGAGGGGGAACAAGGGGCCGUGAAGAGCGGUCCUCGAGUGAUCCCUGGAGGAAGCACGGGCUAAGUUCGUGCCAGCAGCCGCGGUAAGACGAACCGUGCUAACGUUAUUCGGAAUCACUGGGCUUAAAGCGCGUGUAGGCGGUCCGGCACGUUCGUCGCUGAAAUCCCUCGGCUCAACCGGGGAACGGGCGCGGAUACGACCGGACUGGAGGGAGGUAGGGGGAGCUGGAACUUCCGGUGGAGCGGUGAAAUGCGUUGAGAUCGGAAGGAACGCCCGUGGCGAAAGCGGGCUCCUGGACCUUGCCUGACGCUGAGACGCGAAAGCCAGGGGAGCGAACG